AACGAACGCUGGCGGCAUGCCUAACACAUGCAAGUCGAACGAGACCUUCGGGUCUAGUGGCGCACGGGUGCGUAACGCGUGGGAACCUGCCCUUAGGUUCGGAAUAACUCCCCGAAAGGGGUGCUAAUACCGGAUAAUGUCUUCGGACCAAAGAUUUAUCGCCUUUGGAUGGGCCCGCGUUGGAUUAGCUAGUUGGUAGGGUAAAAGCCUACCAAGGCGACGAUCCAUAGCUGGUCUGAGAGGAUGAUCAGCCACACUGGGACUGAGACACGGCCCAGACUCCUACGGGAGGCAGAAGUGGGGAAUAUUGGAAAAUGGGCGAAAGCCUGAUCCAGCAAUGCCGCGUGAGUGAUGAAGGCAUUAGGGUUGUAAAGCUCUUUUACCCGGGAUGAUAAUGACAGUACCGGGAGAAUAAGCUCCGGCUAACUCCGUG
rnacentral:rRNA from 1 species